GUAGGGCGGGACACGUGGUAUCCUGUCUGAAUAUGGGGGGACCAUCCUCCAAGGCUAAAUACUCCUGACUGACCGAUAGUGAACCAGUACCGUGAGGGAAAGGCGAAAAGAACCCCGGCGAGGGGAGUGAAAAAGAACCUGAAACCGUGUACGUACAAGCAGUGGGAGCCUCUUUAUGGGGUGACUGCGUACCUUUUGUAUAAUGGGUCAGCGACUUAUAUUCUGUAGCAAGGUUAACCGUAUAGGGGAGCCGAAGGGAAACCGAGUCUUAACUGGGCGUUAAGUUGCAGGGUAUAGACCCGAAACCCGGUGAUCUAGCCAUGGGCAGGUUGAAGGUUGGGUAACACUAACUGGAGGACCGAACCGACUAAUGUUGAAAAAUUAGCGGAUGACCUGUGGCUGGGGGUGAAAGGCCAAUCAAACCGGGAGAUAGCUGGUUCUCCCCGAAAGCUAUUUAGGUAGCGCCUCGUGAACUCAUCUUCGGGGGUAGAGCACUGUUUCGGCUAGGGGGCCAUCCCGGCUUACCAACCCGAUGCAAACUACGAAUACCGAAGAAUGUUAUCACGGGAGACACACGGCGGGUGCUAACGUCCGUCGUGAAGAGGGAAACAACCCAGACCGCCAGCUAAGGUCCCAAAGUCAUGGUUAAGUGGGAAACGAUGUGGGAAGGCACAGACAGCCAGGAUGUUGGCUUAGAAGCAGCCAUCAUUUAAAGAAAGCGUAAUAGCUCACUGGUCGAGUCGGCCUGCGCGGAAGAUGUAACGGGGCUAAACCAUGCACC
rnacentral:rRNA from 1 species